CGAUAGUGAACCAGUACCGUGAGGGAAAGGCGAAAAGAACCCCUGUAAGGGGAGUGAAAUAGAAUCUGAAACCGCGUGCGUACAAGCAGUGGGAGCAAGCUUAGGCUUGUGACUGCGUACCUUUUGUAUAAUGGGUCAGCGAGUUAUCCGUAUUAGCGAGGUUAACCUAUAUGGGGGAGCCGCAGGGAAACCGAGUCUUAAAAGGGCGAGCAGUUGAUACGGGUAGACCCGAAACCGAGUGAUCUAGUCCUGGACAGGCUGAAAGCAGGGUAACACCUGCCGGAGGGCCGAACCUACUGUCGUUGCAAAGCCAGAGGAUGAUCUGGGACUAGGGGUGAAAGGCCAAUCAAACCCGGUGAUAGCUGGUUCUCCCCGAAAGCUAUUUAGGUAGCGCCCUGUUAAUUGGCGGAUGGGGGUAGAGCACUGUUACGGUAAGGGGUUGGGUUACCAACAGCCGAACCGUUGCAAACUGCGAAUACCAUCCAGUCUUAUACAGGUGACACACAGUGGGUGCUAACGUUCAUUGUGUAGAGGGAAACAACCCGGACCGCCAGCUAAGGUCCCAAAGUCCUGAUUAAGUGGGAAACGAUGUGGGAAGGCAUAGACAGCCAGGAUGUUGGCUUAGAAGCAGCCAUCAUUUAAAGAAAGCGUAAUAGCUCACUGGUCGAGUCGGCCUGCGCGGAAGAUGUAACGGGGCUCAAAUCAGGCACCGAAGCUGCGGAUUUGCACUUAUGUGCAAGUGGUAGGGGAGCGUUGUGUAAGUCUGUGAAGGAGAACGGGGACGUUUUCUGGAGAUAUCACAAGUGCGAAUGCUGACGCAAGUAACGAUAAAACGGAUUAAAAGUCCGUUCGCCGGAAGACCAAGGUUUCCUGUCCAACGUUAAACGGGGCAGGGUUAGUCGGUACCUAAGUUCAGGCUGAAAAGCGUAGACGACGGAUAACAGGUUAAUAUUCCUGUACCGCGUACAUUGCGAUGGGAUGACAGAGUAGGUAAGGCAAGGCGGACAACGGUUGUUCCGCUUCAAGGAUGUAGGUAGUAAGAGAGGUUAAAUGAUCUUUUACGAUGAUCUGAGAUCUGAUGUCCAAAAAGGUAUUCCUUUUAGGUUGCUCUCUCCACACUCUCAGGAAAAGUCCCUAAGCUUCAGAUGUACGUCGGCCGUACCCCAAACCGACACAGGUGGUCGGGUAGAAGAUACCAAGGCGCUUGGGAGAACCCGGGUGAAGGAACUAGGCAAAAUUGUACCGUAACUUCGGGAGAAGGUACGCUGAAGUGAGUGUAAAGAUUUACUCUUGAAGCUUACUUCAGCCGCAGAUAAAUGGCGGCUGGGACUGUUUAACAAAAACACAGCACUCUGCUAACCUGAAAGGGGAUGUAUAGGGUGUGACACCUGCCCGGUGCCGGAAGGUUAAAUGAUGAGGUGAGUUUUUUUACGAAGCCUCUGAGUGAAGCCCCGGUAAACGGCGGCCGUAACUAUAACGGUCCUAAGGUAGCGAAAUUCCUUGUCGGGCAAGUUCCGACCUGCACGAAUGGUGUAACCAUGGCCGCGCUGUCUCCACCCGGGACCCAGUGAAACCGAAAUCGCUGUGAAGAUGCAGUGUACCCGCGGCUAGACGGAAAGACCCCGUGAACCUUUACUGCAGCUUGACACUGAACCUUGAACCUGUUUGCGCAGGAUAGGCGGGAGGCAUUGAAGAGAAGUUUCAGGACUUCUCGGAGCCGUUGGUGAAAUACCGCCCUGACAGUUUUGAGGUUCUAACUUGUGACUCACAUCAGAGGACAGUGUCUGGCGGGAAGUUUGACUGGGGCGGUCUCCUCCCAAAGAGUAACGGAGGAGCACGAAGGUCGGCUGAUCACGGUCGGAAACCGUGAGAUCAGUGUAAUGGCAUAAGCCGGCUUGACUGCAAGAGGUACAUCUCGAGCAGGUGCGAAAGCAGGUCAUAGUGAUCCGGUGGUCCCAUAUGGACGGGCCAUCGCUCAACGGAUAAAAGGUACUCUGGGGAUAACAGG
rnacentral:rRNA from 1 species